rnacentral:rRNA from 1 species
AUUGAACGCUGGCGGAAUGCUUUACACAUGCAAGUCGAGCGGCAGCGCGGCCUUCGGGCUGGCGGCGAGCGGCGAACGGGUGAGUAAUGCAUCGGAACAUGCCCAGGCGUGGGGGAUAACACUUCGAAAGAAGUGCUAAUACCGCAUACGUCCUGAGGGGGAAAGCGGGGGAUCGCAAGACCUCGCGCGAUUGGAGUGGCCGAUGUCAGAUUAGCUAGUUGGUGGGGUAAAGGCCUACCAAGGCGACGAUCUGUAGCUGGUCUGAGAGGAUGAUCAGCCACACUGGGACUGAGACACGGCCCAGACUCCUACGGGAGGCAGCAGUGGGGAAUUUUGGACAAUGGGGGCAACCCUGAUCCAGCCAUUCCGCGUGAGUGAAGAAGGCCUUCGGGUUGUAAAGCUCUUUCGGCAGGAACGAAACGGUGGGCUCUAACAUAGUCCGCUAAUGACGGUACCUGAAGAAGAAGCACCGGCUAACUACGUG